GUUUGCAGGCGUGUGUUUGGAGCAGCAAAUAACCACAUUUUCUGUACUUUUGUGCAGUUAAACUGCCUUAUCUGCUGAUGAAUUUGAUUUAUAGAGCUAUGAAGUCAACUACUAUGGUACUAUUUCUAAGUGACGGUCAUGAAAAGCUGUACUUUCGGCCGCUUGAAAAAUGCAUGCAUGCACUGUCAUGUCAGCAUGUACACAUGGUCGCUAUACACACAGGAAGUCCAACAGAAAUGGCUGGCAGAGUGCCAAUAUCGAUGCAGGCACCAGACGACAUACUUUGAACUUAGCCAGGUCCGUGAAAUUGGUGCCGAAACCCGGUAAAGAACAACAUGGAGAAGCUCAAGUUAUCGCGAGCGGCGGCUAGAGGGUGGCUGACGAGGGAGACGGACGCGUUAUACUCGUUAAUGCUGCGGACGGCUGGCCUGACUAAAGAGAAGCUUCAAUAUCAACUGGAAGAGUUUGACAAACGCCUCGCUUCAGUUGAUGCAGUACAAGGUGAAAUCCAGAAGCUGUUUACCAAGGAAGAAGACGUAGAGGACGAUAUAGAAAAGGCCAGUAUUGUUUGAAAUAAAUCGAUCGAAGUUCGACUCGAGGCGAUCAGAAUAUUGGCCGAGUUGACUGCUACGGGGCCCGCCAUGACAGUUGGCUCCCGUCGCAGCUCGACUUCUGGACAUUUGUCAUCCGCUCGGCUCCCCAAACUCGAACUUGCAAAGUUUAGCGGUGAUAUCACCCAAUGGCAAACGUUUUGGGACAAAUUUGUGGCGAUUGUCGAUGCUGCAGACAUUCCAGUAAUAAAUAAGUUUACAUAUUUACAAUCGUUGCUUGAAGGGGAAGCCAUACUUGCAAUACAAGGUUUAACAUUGACUGAAGCGCAUUAUCAAGUUGCCUGUGACAUUUUAAAAGAGCGUUAUGGGCGUAAGGAACGAAUUCGUUUUUCACAUAUUCAGUCAUUAUUAAGUAUGUCAACUCCAGUUAGUACCGAUUCCACCGUUGCAGACUUGUGGAAAUUGCGGGAUGAUUUGAAUGUCCAUAUUCGUAGUUUAGAGGCCCUCGACGUUGACGAUGAAAAGUACGGCCUGUUCCUAACACCCCUUCUACUCUCUCGGUUGCCUCAGGACAUUCGAAUGGAAUGGUCACGUUUGGGGGAAGGGAAAGAGAGUGAUUUGUCCUAUCUCAUGAAAUUCUUGCAAACAGAAAUCGAAAGGCGAGAACGGUCAGACACGUUCAAAGAUACUGUAUCUGUUAUGAAAUCUUCAGCAGGUCUAGAGGACCAUUUUUCAUCAGCAGUAGCUCUCCAGUCAUCGUCUGGUGCCGUGUCGCAUUCAUCGGUUAGAUGUGAACUCUGUGAUCAAAGUCAUUUAACGUUUAAAUGUCGAGACUUUCUUAGGUUGAAUAUUGAGGAACGGAAAGAUAAACUUAGGGCUAAUGAUCUUUGUUUUUCUUGCCUUUGCAAAGGACAUCGGGCCCGCGGAUGUGUCGCAACGUGCAGGAAAUGCGGCAAGCGACAUCAUAGUUUGAUCUGUGCAGCGCCGAGGUUAUCAGAGACCAGUAACGAAGCGUCGUCAAAUGGUUCGCGUCAGCGGAAGAGGACGAGCAGACAUCGUGGUGGUGGACAAGGCAGGACUUCUGGCGAAGCAAGACUAUUGAGGAGCUUCAAGAGAACUUGUAUUGUGAUGACUGGUUGUCCGGUGCAGAUACGGUUAGCGAAGGUCGUGCCUUGUUUAUAGAUGGUGACAACAUUAUGCAAUCUGCAGGACUUACAGAUUUAUAGACACCUGUUCACCACCACGGAGUUUGUUCGGCCCUAAUUGAAGCUUCGUUACGGUGUUCGGCAUUCCGGUGUUACUGAUGUGGGUGUACGACGUGCUCUGCCCAGUAUCAGAAGUAAUUCGAUGAAAUGCAGAGGGUGUAGUUACUCUGUCAUUUCAAUUCAGGGAGCGAUGAAUAGGCAGAGGGUGUAGUAACUCUGCGGAACGUGACGUUGUGUGUUUUUGAUCCGUGGUUUCCGGUGUUAUGGAUGUAAUAUUGCACUGUGUUGUUUCCUUCAAACCUGCGCGUUUGAAUUUCAUUAUGUAUUACAGUAACAGUCCUUGUUAAGCUCUCUAUCAGUGGAGAGGUAGCUUGGAGGUUAAGAUAAUGUAAAUCCAGAGUACUUGGUUUAGUAAGGUUACAACAUUUGUAUUUAUUAGAGAAUCACGGUAAUAUGUGUCGGCAGUUUAAUUUCAGUCUAAUAUAUUUCGCAAUAAUAAUUCCUGUUUCAAGUGAAAUCAUAAAUCGAUGUUGCAUUGUAGAUUUAACUUUCCCUUGGAUUCAUUACUAUCUGUGUUGCCUUGCCUGAGGUUGUGCAUUGCAGUAUUGGUCAUAACUAUUAUUUAUUUGAUCCCUGUUCCCUUAAUUUGGAUUGGAGUGAAGUUCCUCCAAUGGGGGGAGAAUGUCGUAGAUUACCGGCCCCUAGUUACUUUUGACCAGUGCUGUUGUGCCCGGACUUUGCUAGGUAACCAUAUUGUUGAUUAGGCCUCGGCCAAUCUGGGCCUUGUUUUGUAUGUGAUCGUUUACUUAAUCCUUGAGCGUAAUAAACUCGGGGCAUUUGCCACUUUGUUUGGAACAGGAACUUGUCUUACUUCUUCCUUAUUUAUCACGACGCACAGUCCGUGAAAAUGCCGAUAUCCAAGAUGGCGGAAUUAUACCAGUGGUCAAAUCUCAUCUAUUUUGAAAAUUGCAUCAUUAUUUCUUUUUGUGAUUGGUGAUUUGUAAAAUUGAGAAUGAUUGAACGUGAUUGAUGGUUGAACAUUCACUCUCGUUGACAGUGUAUUUUUGAAAUAUUUGAUUGUGAUGAUGGUGUAUUGUACUACUACUAGGCCUUGCAUGCUCCCAACGUGUGGCAUAUUUCACAUUGAUACUACCAGUAUCAAUUACAAAAAAAUAGAUUGUGAGUAACAAUAGGCCUACAAUCAAUGCUACAAUUUACAUGUCAUGAGAGUGGGAACGGGGAAGGGGGGGGGGUAACUGUCUCGACGUUAGGAAAAAAGGCUUAUCCCGUUUCCCAAUACGCAAUUUUAGCCGAAUCGUGACGCAAAACACGGCUUGUCUCGAAUCCCGCUAAAAUAAGGGUGUCUAUCCCGAAUCCCGACAGUUAUUUUCGGCCCAUCCCAGUGUCCCGAAAAUACCCGUUCUCCCCCUCAUACAUAGUAGACCAUAUUGUCACAUUGAUGUUUUCUUUCAUUACAGUUAGACUUCGAGAUCUACAUUUUCGACAAAGGCCUGGUGUAAUAUUACGUACUUGAUGAAGGUUUAAUGACACGAAUGAGUGCAAGUACAUUACAUUUUUCGACGAAGGCCUUCUGUAAUUUCAUACGCUUCUUACGCAACAUUCAAUAGAUUUAUUUACUGUAUAUCAUUUCGACCAAGGCGAAUUCGACACUUCAAUUACACAAGCACAAUCAAACUUAGUCAUUCCAGUCAGUUACUGAAGCACAGCGAAAACUGUCUGAAUUAGUGCUGCUGAUGGCAUGUAAUUACUCGACUACCACUACCAGUGACAGUCAAUGUCCAUAUAUUUUCAAGUGUGCGAAAUUAGUACUCGUCUACUUCUUAGUGUUAUUUGAAUGCAAUGUAUGUUAUAAAAAUAUUUUUUCAACACUCUAUCAACAUUCUUAUUCCUGUCAGUUUCUGAAAAUCAGCUAAAGCAAUCGCUACCAAUGCAGCUGAUAACAGCAAUUCUUUUUGUUCCCAAUGCCCAUCCAUGACAAUAUAUUUCACGCAUGUGACAAUCAUGUAAUCAUCUUGUUUUUUGUGUUCUAUUCAUGCAAUAAAUAAAUUCAGUAUUUUCAAAUCAUUGGUGCUACAAAACUAUUCUCAUUAUAGAUUAUUCAUAUUUUAUAAAAUGCUGUCAUGUCAAAUUUUGUGUCCUAUAAAUCAUUAUGAAGUCGGCAUUUUAUAUACAACUUUUGUACUCCUCCUAAAUAAACAUACAAAUCUUGUUUUAUGUAAACUUUGUAUAUGUCACCCGUCACAGCAAAACCAGGCGCAUGUCGCUCUGAGCUUGGCAGGUUGAGACGGACUGUUUGUUCAUUUAUCUAUUGUCUGCCUUUUGUAAAAUAUAAGCACAUCAAUUUCUUCCAUUAUCUCCUGGUGUCAUUUAGGCUCAUCUUCUGUGCGACAUGUACCUGGUUUUGCUGUGACGGGUCACAUAUUCUAUAGAUAUACAACACUCUAAUGUCACAAUGCCUCUCUCACUCGCUUUUAUAUAGCAAGAUGUAUGAAUAAACAUGACACACCAACUAUGUACAAAAUUGCUAACUAACUGCUCCAUUCGUCAGUACACCACAUGAAAUACAGAGAUAUGUCUUAAUUCUAAUCUUUCAUUAGCGACACCAUUUCUUACCCGAGUGCCUCCUUCAUUCAUACAUCUUGUACUUUAACUCAAGAUACCCAUCUUUGAAUAUUUUUAGUAUACCAAGUACUACAAUGUCAAUGUAUUGAAGUCAUGUUCUUGUAGUGUUAUUGGCUUUCUAUUAUCUUGUCAAAAUACCACUUGGUUCUCGCAAAAUCUCAAUAAAAACAAAUGCUAUUGCAUGUAUUGCAUAUUCUAACAGCUAUCCACUGUAUCGAUUUAUCCAUCAUCUGUACUAUUUGUCACAAAAAUGUUAUAUUAUGUAAAUCAUAUUUCAUUACAUAAUGCACACUGCCAAUUACUGCUGAACCAUUCAUAUGUCAUUUAAAUAAAUAAUUUUCAACUUUUUAAAACCGUCUUAUAGUACUGUUCUUGUCACUUAGCUGAACCAAUUGCUCUAUAGCAUGAAAUUUCCAGAAAUGCCCCAGGGACUGAAAAGUGCUGUUUUAACAGAGAGGUGUCCUAAACUGAGAAGUCGAGUUGAAUGGAAACAACCAAUUUGGAACCAAAAACUACUGUCCUUAUUAAAGAGGUUGUCCUCAAUAGAAAGGUGUCCAC